UGCAGGCGUGAGCCACUGCGCCCAGCUGCAAUAAUGAUUUUUUUAAAAAACAAGCAUUUACUGCAUUUUCGUACACUAGAAGCUAAAAUACCAUGCUGUCCAGUUCAAAACAGGACACCUGGCACCCUGUUCCUAAGUAUAACAGCUUUCUGCAAAGCCAACACCCAGUGCUUUCUGGCUGCAUUGGCCUGUCCUCAUUUCCCCCUGGAAAACUGUUUUAAACAGUACAGAUAACAUUCUGCCUCUAUUACAAUUAGCAGCUUCUCUCACCAGGUUAUCUAGUUUGGCAAGUGCUAGUGUGGAGUAACCUAGUAUCUUCUUUCAAAACCUCCCAGUGGCUGCCUUCAGGUAGCAUGUGAAAAGCUGCUUAUGGGGAAUUCAGCAGCUGCUUCAGGCCCUCCAGGGCAUUUCUUGCUGGCAUCUUCUGCCUCACCAGAUCGCCCUGAUUAUUGGUGAUCUGGGCCCCCUACCUAAUGGAAAACCAGCCACUCUUCUUCCCAGUCCCAAGGGAUAUUGAUGAGGGGUCCUUAAAUCUGGGAUCCUUUCCCCUCCUUGCCCAAUAAUUGAACUCCUAAAAUCCUUUUACUACCUGGGAAUCUGCAAAGACAACCUUGAAUUUGAACUGGAGCUAGAAGGACUUCCUCUGAACAAAUUUACCCAUAGGUGACUCUCUGGUACAUGGUCUCUGUUGUUCAACUUUCUCUAUUCUGAAGUCUGGAAGACACCCUUGCUUCUGAAAGUGGGGCCUAAGAACCUGCAGCCUCACCAGGGAGUUUGGUAGAAAUCCAGAAUCUGAGGCAGGAUUCUAGACUUAUUGGAUCAGAUUCUGCAUUUCAACAAGAUUCCCCAGUGACCCCCAGGCAUCUUCAAAUUUGAGAGGCCAGGAAAGUGCUCAGGCCCUUCUCUUCCCGUUGGCUGGGGAGAAUUCCUGUAAUUUGCCCUGUUUACGGGUCCUUAAUCUCCAACUUCACUGUCCUUGCUUUCCAAAGAAUCCUGAGUGGCUUCCUUCCAACACCUUGUCUGUCUUCCCCCACGUCCCUGAAGCCAGGGCCUCUUUUCUUCAAGGCCACCCCCCAACUCAUCUCAGGCUGAGGCUCCUCUCUUGAGGCCAUGUCCCAUGGUAGCAUUUCUUUGAGGGCUGCUUUUCUGCUGUUCUUCUCCCCAGGUAGGGCCUCUAAAACCAAUGGAAGUGAAGUGCUACCCCUCAGAGCUGGUUUUAGCCCUUAGAGCUGGCCAGGGUCUGAGUGGGCCUCUCACGGGGCCAUAGGACUGCCCUUUCCCCCAGCUUGCCUAGAAUCUGAGCCCACUCACACCACAUGAACAUGCUAUCCUUGUUCCUCUUUCCUGCCAGCCUCAACACAACCAGAAUACAGCCCAGUAAUGGCUGCCUACAAAUGGGAGGCACCCAGGGAAGGGAGGGGAGUGCUGAUUAAGAACCAGCCUGGAGGAGGGUCAUGGUUUCUCUGAAACAAGAAGGAGAAACAGAUGCCCUGCCCAGAAGCAACACGGCUAAUGGGUGCUACCGUGGAGACCCAGGCAACCUGAGAGUAGUCCUGACAGCCAGACCUCCAGGGCAGAAACGGGAAGGGCUACAGAGAAAGGUCAGGAUUUAACAAGGAAAUGGAGGAGGGCAAGAACGGGGGUCAGGAGUGGGAGACAUGAAACUAAACAGGAAUGAUACAUUGACAAUAAAGAACAUGAAGAGAUGGUUCCUGGACACUACAAGAAACCUGUGGUCCCAGCUACUCGAAGACUGAAGUGAGAGGAUCACUUGAGCCCAGAAGGU